rnacentral:rRNA from 1 species
UACAGAGGUCCCAAGCGUUGUUCGGAUUCAUUGGGCGUAAAGCGCGCGUAGGCGGCUCGGAAAGUCGGUCGUGAAAUGCCGGGGGCUCAACCCCGGGACUGCGUCCGAUACUCCCGGGCUGGAGGCAGGUAGGGGAGAUCGGAAUUCCUGGUGUAGCGGUGAAAUGCGCAGAUAUCAGGAGGAACACCGGUGGCGAAGGCGGAUCUCUGGGCCUGUCCUGACGCUGAGGCGCGAAAGCUAGGGGGAGCGAACAGG